GCCUCUGUAGCAUAAUUGGAUUAAUGCAUUUUGGCUAACAAACCAACAGAUUGAAGGUUCGAAUCCCUCCAGGGGCU
rnacentral:tRNA from 1 species